CCUACGGGUGGCAGCAGUGGGGAAUUUUGGUCAAUGGGCGCAAGCCUGAUCCAGCUAUUUCGCGUGUGGGAUGAAGGCCCUCGGGUUGUAAAACACUUUUGUAGAGAACGAAAAGACACCUUCGUAUAAAGGGUGUUGCUGACGGUACUCUAAGAAUAAGCACAGGCUAACUACGUGCCAGCAGCCGCGGUAAUACGUAGGGUGCGAGCGUUAAUCGGAAUGACUGGGCGUAAAGGGUGCGCAGGCGGUUGAGUAAGACAGAUGUGAAAUCCCCGGGCCUAACUCGGGAAUGGCAUAUGUGACUGCUCGACGAGAGUGUGUCAGAGGGAGGUGGAAUUCCACGUGUAGCAGUGAAAUGCGUAGAUAUGUGGAAGAACACCGAUUGCGAAGGCAGCCUCCUGGGACAUAACUGACGCUCAGGCACGAAAGCGUGGGGAGCAAACAGGAUUAGAUACCCUUGUAGUC
rnacentral:rRNA from 1 species